AUAUAACGAAUCUUAUUUCUUAAUAAGAUAUUCGCUAUUUAAAAUGCUAGUCCUUCAUGAUUAUGUGGUAGGUGGUGCAUGGCCGUUCUUAGUUCGUGGAGUGAUCUGUCUGCUUAAUUGCGUUUCCUAAGGUCCCAUAUACUAAAGGCAUGUCGACCCUCUUUAGGCUUAAUAAGGCUUGGCCCCUCUUUUUAUUAAGAGCGAGUGUCUAAUGUCUUAUUAUCCUUUAUAUAAGAUAGUGUCGUAUGCUGUUGGGAUCUGAAAGCAACGAACGU
rnacentral:rRNA from 1 species